rnacentral:rRNA from 1 species
ACCAGACUCCUACGGGAGGCAGCAGUGGGGAAUAUUGGUCAAUGGGCUUACGCCUGAACCAGCCAAGUCGCGUGAGGGAAGACUGCCCUAUGGGUUGUAAACCUCUUUUGUCAGGGAGCAAUUGAGUCCACGUGUGGGCUUAGCGAGAGUACCUGAAGAAAAAGCAUCGGCUAACUCCGUGCCAGCAGCCGCGGUAAUACGGAGGAUGCGAGCGUUAUCCGGAUUUAUUGGGUUUAAAGGGUGCGUAGGCGGAAUAUCAAGUCAGCGGUAAAAAUUCGGGGCUCAACCCCGUCGUGCCGUUGAAACUGAUGCUCUUGAGUGGGCGAGAAGUAUGCGGAAUGCGUGGUGUAGCGGUGAAAUGCAUAGAUAUCACGCAGAACUCCGAUUGCGAAGGCAGCAUACCGGCGCCCAACUGACGCUGAAGCACGAAAGCGUGGGUAUCGAACAGGAUUAGAUACCCGCGUAAG